rnacentral:tRNA from 1 species
GAGGGGGUCGGUGAAAGGCUGGUUAAACCGUUUGGUUUUCGACCACUAGGACCCGGGUUCGAUUCCCGCACUGGACACUUUUUUCU